rnacentral:rRNA from 1 species
CAGCGCCACAAGUGGCAAUCACGUUUAUUGGGCCUAAAGCGUCCGUAGCCGGUUUAGCAAAUCUUUUGUGAAAUCGUCAGGCUUAACUUGACGAAUUGCAGAAGACACUACUAAACUAGGGACUGGGAGGAGUCAGAAGUAUUCUGGGGGGACCGGUAAAAUGGUAUAAUCCCCAGAGGACUACCGAUGGCGAAGGCAUCUGACCAGAACAGAUCCGACGGUGAGGGACGAAAGCCAGGGGAGCAAACCGGAUUAGAUGCCCGAGUAGUCC